rnacentral:ncRNA from 1 species
CUCUCUUGUGGUAGCCAAAUGCCUGGUCAUCUAAUUAGUGACGCGCAUGAUUGAUUAACGAGAUUCCCACUGUCCCUAUCUACUAUCUAGCGAAACCACAGCCAAGGGAACGGGCUUGGAAAAAUCAGCGGGGAAAGAAGACCCUGUUGAGCUUGACUCUAGUCUGCUCUGUGAAAGAGACAUGAGAGGUGUAGCAUAAGUGGGAGGCCGUGAACCCUCGCGGUUGUGUCGUGCCGUCAUCUAACUGUCCUAUCUUGGUUCCCAGACAUCAUUUGGGGGGGGGGGGGUCUCUUUCAACACAGACAAGUCGGAGGAAAAUUCCAGAAAUAAACCGCAGUAUUGCUCCAUACAUCCUGUACAGGUUAUCGUAACAAUCUCCAGUCUCGAAAGGACCCUGCACUCUAAAAAAAAAAAAAGGGAGGAGAAAUGGAGGAAAAAGCGAUGUUCCUCCCUGUCACCUGCGGGGGCUAGCGAAGUUACACUAGUUAAAAAAAAAAAAAAGCGAGACGUGUAGCACGGCGUUUGUGAAGUGUCUCGCGUGAAUCACGCCAUAUGUGCCCGCUUCGAAAUCGUGCUUAUUUAUUGUGGACGAAACCUUGCAGGUGCGAUAAGUACAGGUGGGGACUUUUCACUGGCAUGGCAAGUACGACCGCUUUAGUCGCGUUACUUUUUACAUGACGAUUGCACAUAGUGACCCUGGAGCGAGGGAACAAAAAAAGGACGGAAGACACGAAACUAUGUCUAUCUAUCCAUAACCACCUCGCCUGCCUAUUUGCUUUAAUUUUAAUAACAAGUAGGGGCGCACAAGAAAAUGGCGUCAUAAUCGUGGAAUUCUUUUUUU